CCCUGAGAGAGUCUAACAUUUUUCGGAGGGAUUACGUGAAGACAAAAACAAUAAUUACUAGCGCAGAUUCAAAGUAAAGAAAUAGCUUCAUAGCAGUAGUUGCUACUGUAGUUCUAAAGAAGGGAACUUGUAAGGUGUGGAUUCUCUUGUUAUAGAAGACUUCGGUUAUGUUCUGAUUAUUGAAGUCUCGGCUGGGUUUUUAUGACACUGGAACUCUUCCCUGCGCGGAGGAUGGCGAGCCACUCAAGACUGAAUCGCCUCGGAGGAAACCCUUCCGUGUGCAUCUUCUGAUUUCAAGUGUGGUAGGACUGAUAGUUAACCACACAAUUGAUUGAAUCUUCUUUAUUUUUUUUGAAUUCUCCAACCGGAUACUAUCGGGUAGGACUGAACUGUAAACAUACUUGAUUGAAACAACGGUUGGAUUCCUCAUCUGGACUAUUCUAUUUUUUUGUUUGAACUUUGUUGCAAUUGCGAAACCAUAACUGUUAUGGGUGCACCCUGUUCUUUUGGGACUGUUGGUUAAUAGCUCAUUAAUAACUGGAAAAUACCAGAACACACAUACACUGAUAUAUAGCACAGAACCAACUUUAUUUUGGGUUAUUGAGCAUUAUGAAUGUAAAUGAUUGAGAAUACAUUUUAUGUUCUACUUA